AUUGAACGCUGGCCGCAUGCUUUACACAUGCAAGUCGAGCGGUAACAGGCCUUCGGGUGCUGACGAGUGGCGAACGGGUGAGUAAUGCAUCGGAACGUACCCAGAGGUGGGGGAUAACGCAGCGAAAGCUGUGCUAAUACCGCAUGUGAUCUGAGGAUGAAAGCGGGGGACCGAGCAGCAAUGUUUGGCCUCGCGCCUUUGGAGCGGCCGAUGUCGGAUUAGCUAGUUGGUGGGGUAAAGGCCUACCAAGGCGACGAUCCGUAGCUGGUCUGAGAGGACGACCAGCCACACUGGGACUGAGACACGGCCCAGACUCCUACGGGAGGCAGCAGUGGGGAAUUUUGGACAAUGGGCGCAAGCCUGAUCCAGCAAUGCCGCGUGCGGGAAGAAGGCCUUCGGGUUGUAAACCGCUUUUGGCAGGAACGAAACGGUGUCCGCUAAUACCGGGCGCUAAUGACGGUACCUGCAGAAUAAGCACCGGCUAACUACGUG
rnacentral:rRNA from 1 species